AAGUCGUAACAAGGUUUCCGUAGGUGAACCUGCGGAAGGAUCAUCAAAAGUUCCGAUAGAGUACCUUAUUGAGAACCGUGGGAUGUAAGGGGCUGGGGGUGAUGGUGGUGUGGGGUGUGUGGUGCUGCCAUCGUUAAAUGACGGUGGUGGUGGUGUGCCGAGGCCGGCCAGCAGCCCUCCACACCUCCACCUCCAGCCUGUAUGUUAACACACAAACACUGUUGAGAAGUAUCAGUCUAAAGGGUUGUUGUUGUUGUGUGUGCGUGAGUGGAUUGCGCACACCGAUACACUAAUAUCAACACAACUUGCAGCGAUGGAUCUCUAGGCUCUG
rnacentral:misc_RNA from 1 species